rnacentral:rRNA from 1 species
GACGAACGCUGGCGGCGUGCUUAACACAUGCAAGUCGAACGGAAAGGCCCUGCUUUUGUGGGGUGCUCGAGUGGCGAACGGGUGAGUAACACGUGAGUAACCUGCCCUUGACUUUGGGAUAACUUCCGGAAACUGGGGCUAAUACCGGAUAGGAGCUCCUGCUGCAUGGUGGGGGUGGGAAAGUUUCGGCGGUUGGGGAUGGACUCGCGGCUUAUCAGCUUGUUGGUGGGGUAGUGGCUUACCAAGGCUUUGACGGGUAGCCGGCCUGAGAGGGUGACCGGCCACAUUGGGACUGAGAUACGGCCCAGACUCCUACGGGAGGCAGCAGUGGGGAAUAUUGCACAAUGGGCGGAAGCCUGAUGCAGCAACGCCGCGUGCGGGAUGACGGCCUUCGGGUUGUAAACCGCUUUCGCCUGUGACGAAGCGUGAGUGACGGUAAUGGGUAAAGAAGCACCGGCUAACUACGUG